AGGGAAGAAAACAUCACAGUGUGGACUCCUCAGUUAAAGGAACGGAGUUUGUCACGGAGUAAUCAAAUAAAGAGGGAAAAAAAGCACUCCUGAAGGCAAAAAUCGACUCAGCUUUCCAGCCACUACGGAGAUAAAUGAUGGACUGAUAAGGCCCGGAUCUAGACUGCUCAGGUUGGGGGAGCAAUUACAAAUUUUGGAUGGGCAGUAUCUUACAAUGCCGUAACGUCGUGUGACCCGAGAAAUAGGCUCCGCAGAAGAAUAUCUGAUGGGACGAAUGAAAUAAACGUGACUGGCAGAUUCAGAUGGCGCAGGCUGAAAUUGACCGAUUAGCUUUGACUUUUUUGGCCCUGGUCCAGACCAUGAUUGCCAGUAGGAGAAUACCACAUGCCGCGUGUGUGAUUGGCAGCACCGUAAGUCUGAAGCUGUUUUGCUCAUGCCACACAAAACCCUCCAUGACUGACCCCAGGCCAGGAGCAUCGUGUUCCUGCUCCCUGCAAAGGGCCUGCAAACGAGGUCGUCCGAAAUUCAUUACAGUUGUCUUCCUGGCUCCAAUUAUGCUCUGUGAAAUAAUAAUAAUAAUCUGAGCAGAGUGGAGAUACGGAACAAUAUCCGUCUUUUUCGAUUUCCCUGAGCCGCAGCAGCUCAAAUCUAUUAUUCAAAACAACACCUAAGUGUUUUCAUAAAACGCUCAUUCUUCUCACCUCCCGCUUAUGUUCAGAAACACAGCCUCACCCGCCGCACCGACCGAGCAACGGAAACAUAUCUCACCUCCACUGGCAUUACCCUUAAGUAUCUGGUGACAGCAGUCUCCAGGGCUUGGUUUUUGGACCAAUAGCUGAGCUGCUUAUUGAGGGCCACCUCAGCCUUGCUAACAUGUGAAGGAGGCUGUGGGCCCAUCUGGCGGGUGAGUGCACAGGGGCAGCGGUAUACCGUGUGUGUGAUGCUGGCCGUUGGUCCCUCCCUUAGCUGCAGUUGCAGGAGGAUAAGCCCUUGUAUGUAAUCCCUGUGUUGCUGUAGAAUAGCUUAUCCUAUUUCAUUUGCCCAUGAUUGGCAGCAGAUUGCUUGUAGACCUCCUGAGAUGCAGAACUAGGAUGUGACAGAACUUAGAUGCCUCGGUGCCGAUGCUCCAAGUCAAGGUUGUCCUGUUUGCCAUGAUUGGCGUGGGAGAGAAUAUUUUCUCAAAGUAUUCACAGAGAUCCAGUGCCACAUGAAAGGUACUGACAGGAAAACAUAUAAAAGUAUAAAGAGACUCCGGACUUUUUAACCAAGGCAGAAGGAGAAGGUCACCAGAGGACGAAGACACAUUUACAGAUAUAAAGCUAAAGUUCAGAAGUUUUUCAUGUGUCAUCACCAUUGCCAGGACAUUUUGUGAUCUUAUGCACAUUGUGUAUUCUUCGCUAUGCACAAAAUAUAUCAAUGUGAUCAGAAACAAACUGUUUUCCUUUUGACUGUUAAACAUAUCAUAUGCAGCAUUCUGUGACCAAUAGGGUUUUUGUCCUGUUUGCUUUGUGGUGCAGGCAAUGCAAAGUCCAUGUGUUCUGUAUGGCAAGAGCAAUAUCAGGUCAUAAACACUGAAGGAAAUGGUUUCAGAA